AGAGUUUGAUCAUGGCUCAGAGCGAACGCUGGCGGCAGGCCUAAUACAUGCAAGUCGAGCGGCCCUUCGGGGCAGCGGCGGACGGGUGAGUAACGCGUGGGAAUGUGCCCUUUGGUACGGAACAACUGAGGGAAACUUCAGCUAAUACCGUAUGUGCCCUUCGGGGGAAAGAUUUAUCGCCAUUGGAGCAGCCCGCGUUGGAUUAGGUAGUUGGUGAGGUAAAGGCUCACCAAGCCUACGAUCCAUAGCUGGUCUGAGAGGAUGAUCGGCCACACUGGGACUGAGACACGGCCCAGACUCCUACGGGAGGCAGCAGUAGGGAAUCUUGCGCAAUGGGCGAAAGCCUGACGCAGCCAUGCCGCGUGAAUGAUGAAGGUCUUAGGAUUGUAAAAUUCUUUCACCGGGGAAGAUAAUGACGGUACCCGGAGAAGAAGCCCCGGCUAACUUCGUGCCAGCAGCCGCGGUAAUACGAAGGGGGCUAGCGUUGCUCGGAAUUACUGGGCGUAAAGGGCGCGUAGGCGGAUAGUUUAGUCAGAGGUGAAAGCCCAGGGCUCAACCUUGGAACUGCCUUUGAUACUGGCUAUCUUGAGUUCGGGAGAGGUGAGUGGAAUGCCGAGUGUAGAGGUGAAAUUCGUAGAUAUUCGGCGGAACACCAGUGGCGAAGGCGACUCACUGGCCCGAUACUGACGCUGAGGCGCGAAAGCGUGGGGAGCAAACAGGAUUAGAUACCCUAGUAGUCC
rnacentral:rRNA from 1 species